rnacentral:lncRNA from 1 species
UGGGGCUAUUCCCUGUUGGUCUUAAUAGCCAGCAAAGUCAGGUAUUAUGACACUUAUCUAGGUUGUACUGAAUUCAAAGGCUGCUUAUUGUGGCAUAGCUCUCCUGCUCAGGUAACCUCCUCCUCCAGGAAAAGCUUUGUACCUAAAGAUUGCUCCUGGCCAUGAAGUGCCAUGGCUAGAAUGUGUUUUUUUCCACAGCAGAAAGUCCAUCACCUGCUGGCAGGACACCAAGGGGAAAAAAAAAGUGAUAUGAUUAGGAAGGAUACCAUCAACUCAGGCAAAGACACCAGAGAUUAUCGAGUCACAAAAUCUCCCUUGGUUCAGCCUUCAGGUGGAGAUUUUCCUUUGCUGAACUUGCAGGGCUCAUGUCCAUGAGAGAAAGACCCACAAGAGGAACACUGAGGUUUACUCCUCUCACUCACUUAAUGGCGGUCCCUUCUGCAUGUUGUGCAGAUGCAUUGUUUCAUCAUGGCCGUGCUUAUGGGCAAGAGAUGCAAGGAGAGAGAACUGAUGAUUAACCAAUGCACAGAGAAAAU